rnacentral:rRNA from 1 species
UACGUAGGGGGCGAGCGUUGUCCGGAUUUAUUGGGCGUAAAGCGCGUGUAGGCGGCCCGGUAAGUCCGCUGUGAAAGUCCAGGGCUCAACCCUGGGAUGCCGGUGGAUACUGUCGGGCUCGAGUCCGGAAGAGGCGAGUGGAAUUCCUGGUGUAGCGGUGAAAUGCGCAGAUAUCAGGAGGAACACCAAUGGCGAAGGCAGCUCGCUGGGACGUGACUGACGCUGAGACGCGAAAGCGUGGGGAGCAAACAGG